UCUUCAAACUCUGGAAGGGAAAAGGCACU
rnacentral:piRNA from 1 species